rnacentral:misc_RNA from 1 species
AGCAGCCGCGGUAAUUCCAGCUCCAAUAGCGUAUAUUAAAGUUGUUGCAGUUAAAAAGCUCGUAGUUGAAUUUCGGGAUUGACACAUCGGUCGUGCCUUAAGGGGUAUGAACUGGUGUAGUCAAUUUCUCACCUUCUGGAGAACCGCGAUGCCCUUAAUUGGGUGUCGCGGGGAACCAGGACCUUUACUUUGAAAAAUUAGAGUGUUUAAAGCAGGCAUUUUGCUUGAAUACAUUAGCAUGGAAUAAUAAAAUAGGACGGCAUGAUUCUAUUUUGUUGGUUUCUAGGAUCACCGUAAUGAUUAAUAGGGAUAGUUGGGGGCAUUAGUAUUCAAUUGUCAGAGGUGAAAUUCUUGGAUUUAUUGAGGACUAACUACUGCGAAAGCAUUUGCCAAGGAUGUUUUCAUUAAUCAAGAACGAAAGUUAGGGGAUCGAAGACGAUCAGAUACCGUCGUAGUCUUAACCAUAAACUAUGCCGACUAGGAAUCAGACGAUGUUAAUUUUUAAAUGACUCGUUUUGGC